UACGAAGGGGGCUAGCGUUGCUCGGAAUCACUGGGCGUAAAGCGCACGUAGGCGGCUCUUUAAGUCAGAGGUGAAAUCCUGGGGCUCAACCCCAGAACUGCCUUUGAUACUGAGGAGCUUGAGUCCGGGAGAGGUGAGUGGAACUGCGAGUGUAGAGGUGAAAUUCGUAGAUAUUCGCAAGAACACCAGUGGCGAAGGCGGCUUACUGGUCCGGUUCUGACGCUGAGGCACGAAAGCGUGGGGAGCAAACAGG
rnacentral:rRNA from 1 species